rnacentral:rRNA from 1 species
CCUACGGGAGGCUGCAGUGGGGAAUAUUGCACAAUGGGGGGAACCCUGAUGCAGCGACGCCGCGUGAGUGAAGAAGUAUUUCGGUAUGUAAAGCUCUAUCAGCAGGGAAGAAAAUGACGGUACCUGACUAAGAAGCCCCGGCUAACUACGUGCCAGCAGCCGCGGUCAUACGUAGGGGGCAAGCGUUAUCCGGAUUUACUGGGUGUAAAGGGAGCGCAGACGGCUGUGCAAGUCUGGAGUGAAAGGCGGGGGCCCAACCCCCGGACUGCUCUGGAAACUGUAAAGCUGGAGGGCAGGAGAGGUAAGCGGAAUUCCUAGUGUAGCGGUGAAAUGCGUAGAUAUUAGGAGGAACACCAGUGGCGAAGGCGGCUUACUGGACUGCAACUGACGUUGAGGCUCGAAAGCGUGGGGAGAAAACAGGAUUAGAUACCCUUGUAGUC